AAAUCCGCUAAGGAGUGUGU
rnacentral:snRNA from 1 species